UACGUAGGGGGCUAGCGUUGUCCGGAUUUAUUGGGCGUAAAGAGCGUGUAGGCGGCCAUGUAGGUCCGGUGUGAAAACUCGAGGCUUAACCUCGAGAUGUCAUCGGAAACCAUUUGGCUAGAGUCCGGAAGAGGAGAGUGGAAUUCCUGGUGUAGCGGUGGAAUGCGCAGAUAUCAGGAGGAACACCGGUGGCGAAGGCGGGUCUCUGGGCAGUAACUGACGCUGAGGAGCGAAAGCGUGGGGAGCGAACAGG
rnacentral:rRNA from 1 species